AAAUUGACAUACCUUCCUUGAAAAUUAUACUUCAGCAAAUAUAAUCGGCGGUAAAAGCUGGUGAGGACGACCGGAUAACAGCGAGAUCCGACGUGAAACAGAUAGAUGUAGCUCAGUUCCGAGAUGCAGAGGUAUAGAGAGGAAUUCAGGAGAGAAGAAUCGCGCACAAAAUAUGAAAAACGAGCGUAGGGCUUUCAAUUUUCAGAUUAUAUAUAGGGGUAAUUAUGUCCGAAACGUAGCCUUGCCUUGAUUUUUAAUAAACUUUUAAGUAGUGGGUUUUUUUGCAAGACAAAAAAAACUGGAUGUCCCUUUUAUAAUUAAGUCCAUGUUUCAUGCGUCUCUUUGCCAUUUUUUCUUCAUAUUAAAUGUC
rnacentral:lncRNA from 1 species